rnacentral:rRNA from 1 species
GGGUCCGGACACACUGAGGAUUGACAGGUAACAUCACACGUAUUCGUACGUGUGUAUAAAUAUGCUAGUCCUUUCAUGAUUAUGUGAUAGGUGGUGCAUGGCCGUUCUUAGUUCGUGGAGUGAUCUGUCUGCUUAAUUGCGUUUCACUAUUGGAUCUAUAUACCGUGCAUGUGUUGCGGCAUUGACCCCUCGGUAUUCUCAAUAUCGAGUGCGCGUCUUUCGCUUAGCUCACUGCGUUUUAGAUCCUGAAAGCAACGAACGUGACCGCAACCUCUUGUUGCUUUCAUUACCCAAUGCGGGCAAUAUAUACUCGUAUAUAUAGUUCGCAUAAGAAAGCUUAUUAUUAUACACAAACUAGAGGGACCGCUGUUACUUUCUUAAACCAGAGGAAGGUUGCGGCAAUAACAGGUCUGUGAUGCCCUUAGAUGUUCCGGGCUGCACACGUGCUACAAUGAUUAUUGCAGUGAGCAUCUCAUUUUUUACUACACCGCAUGCGCGAGUCUAUUUAUUCUCACUCUCGGGUGGUUUAAAUACGAUCUCUGCGCGCGGUAAAGCCUACUUCGAAAGUAAGCGGGU